rnacentral:rRNA from 1 species
UAGGUCUUGACAUACCGAUGACAGGUCUAGAGAUAGAUUUUCCCUUUUAGGGCAUCGGAUACAGGUGGUACGAUGGUUGUCGUCAGCUCGUGUCGUGAGAUGUCGGGUUAAGUCCCGCAACGAGCGCAACCCCUAUUGUUAGUUGCCAUCAUUAAGUUGGGCACUCUAGCGAGACUGCCAGUAAUAAACUGGAGGAAGGUGGGGAUGACGUCAAAUCAUCAUGCCCCUUAUGACCUGGGCUACACACGUGCUACAAUGGGAAGUACAACGAGUUGCGAGGCGGUGACGCCAAGCUAAUCUCUUAAAGCUUCUCUCAGUUCGGAUUGUAGGCUGCAACUCGCCUACAUGAAGUCGGAAUCGCUAGUAAUCGCGGAUCAGCACGCCGCGGUGAAUACGUUCCCGGGCCUUGUACACACCGCCCGUCACACCACGAGAGUUUGUAACACCCGAAGUCGGUGAGGUAACCGUAAGGAGCCAACCGCCUAAGGUGGGAUAGAUGAUUGGGGUGAAGUCGUAACAAGGUAAGCGUAGAUGA